UGGGGGAUAUUGCACAAUGGGCGAAAGCCUGAUGCAGCGACGCCGCGUGGGGGAUGAAGGCUUUCGGGUUGUAAACCUCUUUCGCUAUCGAACAAGGCCCGCUUAGGGUGGGUUGAGGGUAGGUGGAGAAGAAGCGCCGGCUAACUACGUGCCAGCAGCCGCGGUAAUACGUAGGGCGCGAGCGUUGUCCGGUAUUAUUGGGCGUAAGGGGCUUGUAGGCGGCUUGUUGCGCCUGCUGUGAAAACGCGGGGCUUAACUUCGCGCGUGCAGUGGGUACGGGCAGGCUUGAGUGUGGGAGGGGUGACGGGAAUUCCAGGUGUAGCGGUGGAAUGCGCAGAUAUCUGGAGGAACACCGAUGGCGAAGGGAGGUCACUGGGCCAUUACUGACGCUGAGGAGCGAAAGCAUGGGUAGCGAACAGG
rnacentral:rRNA from 1 species